rnacentral:rRNA from 1 species
CCGGCGCACGGGUGAGUAACACGUAUCCAACCUGCCGUCUACUCUUGGACAGCCUUCUGAAAGGAAGAUUAAUACAAGAUGGCAUCAUGAGUCCGCAUGUUCACAUGAUUAAAGGUAUUCCGGUAGACGAUGGGGAUGCGUUCCAUUAGAUAGUAGGCGGGGUAACGGCCCACCUAGUCUUCGAUGGUUAGGGGUUCUGAGAGGAAGGUCCCCCACAUUGGAACUGAGACACGGUCCAA